GAUCCUGGCUCAGAAUCAACGCUGGCGGCGCGCUUAACACAUGCAAGUCGCACGAGAAAGGGAGCAAUCCCAAGUAAAGUGGCGCACGGGUGAGUAACACGUGGACAUCUACCUUUUAGUGGGGAAUACCCCCGGGAAACUGGGGACAAUACCGCAUAAGCUCGUAAGAAGCAAUGCGCUGAAAGAGGAGUCCGCGGCCGAUUAUGCUAGAUGGCGGGGUAAUGGCCCACCAUGGCGAAGAUCGGUAGCCGGCCUGAGAGGGCACACGGCCACACUGGCACUGAAACACGGGCCAGACUCCUACGGGAGGCAGCAGUGGGGAAUCUUGCACAAUGGAGGAAACUCUGAUGCAGCGACGCCGCGUGAGCGAUGAAACCCUUCGGGGUGUAAAGCUCUUUCGACAGGAACGAUAAUGACGGUACCUGAAGAAGAAGCUGCGGCUAACUACGUGCCAGCAGCCGCGGUAAUACGUAGGCAGCAAGCGUUGUUCGGAAUUACUGGGCGUAAAGAGUGUGUAGGCUGUGCUCUAAGUCUGGUGUGAAAUCUCCCGGCUUAACUGGGAGGGUGCGCCGGAAACUGGGGUACUAGAGUAUGGGAGAGGCAAGCGGAAUUCCUGGUGUAGCGGUGAAAUGCGUAGAUAUCAGGAGGAACACCUGUGGUGUAGACAGCUUGCUGGACCAUUACUGACGCUGAGACACGAAAGCGUGGGUAGCAAACAGGAUUAGAUACCCUGGUAGUCCACGCCCUAAACGAUGCAUACUUGGUGUGAGCCAUUCAUUUGGUUCGUGCCGGAGCUAACGCGUUAAGUAUGCCGCCUGGGGAGUACGGUCGCAAGGCUGAAACUCAAAGGAAUUGACGGGGGCCCGCACAAGCGGUGGAGCAUGUGGUUC
rnacentral:rRNA from 1 species